rnacentral:rRNA from 1 species
UACGGGGGGGGCAAGCGUUGUUCGGAAUUACUGGGCGUAAAGGGCUCGUAGGCGGCCAACUAAGUCAUACGUGAAAUCCCUCGGCUCAACCUGGGAACUGCGUCUGAUACUGGGAGGCUAGAGUUUGGGAGAGGGAUGUAGAAUUCCAGGUGUAGCGGUGAAAUGCGCAGAUAUCAGGAGGAACACCGAUGGCGAAGGCAGUUCUCUGGGCCGUAACUGACGCUGAGGAGCGAAAGCGUGGGGAGCGAACAGG